UGGAGUAUCUGCCGGGCGGGUCCGGGCCGCUGGAGCCAGCCCUGCAGCGCGCGUUCGAGGCGCGCUACCGCAU
rnacentral:tRNA from 1 species